rnacentral:rRNA from 1 species
UACAGAGGGGGCAAGCGUUGUUCGGAAUUACUGGGCGUAAAGGGCGCGUAGGCGGCCGCCUAAGUCAGACGUGAAAUCCCUCGGCUCACCGGGGAACUGCGUCUGAUACUGGGUGGCUUGAAUUCGGGAGAGGGAUGCGGAAUUCCAGGUGUAGCGGUGAAAUGCGUAGAUAUCUGGAGGAACACCGGUGGCGAAGGCGGCAUCCUGGACCGAGAUUGACGCUGAGGCGCGAAAGCCAGGGGAGCAAACGGG